rnacentral:rRNA from 1 species
GACGAACGCUGGCGGCGUGCCUAAUACAUGCAAGUAGAACGCUGAAGAGAGGAGCUUGCUCUUCUUGGAUGAGUUGCGAACGGGUGAGUAACGCGUAGGUAACCUGCCUUGUAGCGGGGGAUAACUAUUGGAAACGAUAGCUAAUACCGCAUAACAAUAGGUGACACAUGUCAUUUAUUUGAAAGGGGCAAUUGCUCCACUACAAGAUGGACCUGCGUUGUAUUAGCUAGUAGGUGAGGUAACGGCUCACCUAGGCGACGAUACAUAGCCGACCUGAGAGGGGGAUCGGCCACACUGGGACUGAGACACGGCCCAGACUCCUACGGGAGGCAGCAGUAGGGAAUCUUCGGCAAUGGGGGCAACCCUGACCGAGCAACGCCGCGUGAGUGAAGAAGGUUUUCGGAUCGUAAAGCUCUGUUGUAAGUCAAGAACGAGUGUGAGAGUGGAAAGUUCACACUGUGACGGUAGCUUACCAGAAAGGGACGGCUAACUACGUG